CCUCUCGGCCCUCCAUGGCACAUGAUUGGUGACCCCUGCUUUAAUGUAUCCAAAACCAAGGAAUGACCAACUUAGAGAGGAUGACUGAGUUAAAUUUGCUGUGAACACUGAGGCUGCUGUGAAAAUCAGUUUGCUAAAUGCUACUUACGUGUCCUACUUUUUUCGUGGAGGUGACGUUACCGAGGAUCUGGAGCGCCUGCGUCUGGUUGGGGGUUCAAAGUCGCUGCUCCAGGUUGUGUUGGUGACCCCGCACACCAUGGGC